UUCAGCAUGUUGGUCAGGCUGGUCUUGAGCACCUGACCUCAGAUGACCCACCUGCCUCAGCUUCCCACAGUGCUGGGAUAACAGGCAUGAGCCACCAUGCCCAGCCAAGAAAAGUUCUUUUAAGUAUGUAAAUGAUUCAAUUUGGAUUCAGUCACAGGCAGACUGAAGUGAAAUAAGGAAAACGUAGCAUUUCUUUGUUUGACAUUUAAUGGAAUAAUGCCAUUGCCAGGUAUGGACUUGAACGAAGUAGGCAUUUGGUUAAUAUGUACUGAAUCAAAGAAAUGAGUAGGUAGGCUUUUAGGAAUUGCAAUCUCUUGACUGACUCCUAAAUGCUGGUAAUUUAUUUCUAUACUGAAGGCCACAUUUUAAAACCAACUGGGGAGUCUUUUUCAUGGACACAUGCCCAGCCCCAUUACUACAUCCUGGCAGGGUGUCCAGCCAUGUACAUGUUUUGAAGUUCCUGUGGUUCAGACACAACCUGUUAUACAGUCACCACCUUAUUAUCUCUGUGGUCCUGGCCUGUGCUGAUGCUGUGAUAUUUUCAUCCUGAAAUGAAGAGGCAGUCAUCUCAACACCAGGUCAGUAAACUGAUUCCUGUCCUUCAAAUUGAUUCAUUGUUAUUUGAAUUUCAAACAACAAACCAACCAUAGCUCAGUGUUUCUUAAGAGUAUCCUGUGGAGCAUAGUGUGUGAGACACCCAGAAGAAAGCACUCUGUGGUCAGGUGGGUUUCUGUGCCAUUUGCUGCCACCUUCCCUGCAAACAGUGAUUUACAGCACACGUUGUCCUUGUGUCUGUUCUGCAGUGAUAAAACCCGUUUAACUGUUCCCAAAUGUACUGACCCUGGGUCUGUUUUACUCAGGGAACACUGUUAACAUCCUGUAGAAGCACAGUAGCAGGUAUCCAGCCUGCAUACGAGAAGACAACUAGAACCAAAUUUGAGGAGCAUGCCUGGAACUCUCUUUCAUUAUACCAUAAAAUAAAACUACAAAUUUCAUUCAACAAAUUUGUAUUUAAUAUGUAGGAUUCACUCUUGGGAUGCCAACUUUUAAAACUUAAGAAUAUCAGCUAUCGUUUAUAUAAUCUUUGUUCAUGAUAAUUAUGCUGUCUGGGUGAAAAGAAACUGGCUGGGUGUUAUAUUCCACUUGUGUUCAUGGCAUUUAAUAAUGUCCUAAGAAGGCAGCCAGUAGAACCUUGGUUACUGUUUUUCAAAAGUGGCUCUGCAUUGCUCCCACAUAACCCGGUGCAUUACUCCACAGUCCUAAUAGAGCCCUGAAAGGGAAACUGCCAGAAAUAACGUUCUUCAUUUAAGUGACUAAAAACUCCCCAAUAUUUUUUCCCUAGGGAAUAACUGGGAGACAAAUCUCUAAGAUCACAUACUAUUAAUGGUUACCCCAGAACCUGGCCAUAUCCCCUGGCAUAUGAAAGAGCCCAGGAGAAGAGGCCACUCUACUGCAGAGGCCAACAGAAGGCACACAUCAAGGAAAUGCCCUGUGAGAACAAGCAAAAACGUGGCCAUCUGUAAGCAAGGAAGAGUGUCCUCACCAGAAAAUGAAGUGGCUAGAACUUUAUCUCAGAAUUCCAGCCUCCAGAACUGAAUGGCACCAACGCCUUGGCUGGUGCAUACUUUCCUCCCUGGGUACAGCACCAAGUGCAGGUCUCCUACUUGGCCAUCUUGCGGAUCAUGUAGUUGAGGAUGCCCCCGUUGAGGAAGUACGUGAGCUCCACGUCGGUGUCGAACCUCAUGACAGCCUGAAAGGUCUUUCCAGUAUCCAGCUGCGGCACAAAGAGAUGGAAGAAUUGUUGAGGGAGGAGGUGAGAGAAAUGAGGCUCAGAGAUGGAAAUAAUUUCAAGGCUCCACAGCUAGUAUAACCUAGCUCUGGGAGCAAACAAUGCCUGCUGCAACCCACUGACCCUAGUAGCUCCCGUUAGAACCAAAGCAUGCCUCCAAGCA